rnacentral:rRNA from 1 species
CUGGGCGUAAAGGGUGCGUAGGCGGUCUUUCAAGUCAGGAGUGAAAGGCUACGGCUCAACCGUAGUAAGCUCUUGAAACUGGGAGACUUGAGUGCAGGAGAGGAGAGUGGAAUUCCUAGUGUAGCGGUGAAAUGCGUAGAUAUUAGGAGGAACACCAGUGGCGAAGGCGGCUCUCUGGACUGUAACUGACGCUGAGGCACGAAAGCG